CCUACGGGUGGCAGCAGUGGGGAAUAUUGGACAAUGGGGGGAACCCUGAUCCAGCCAUGCCGCGUGUGUGAAGAAGGCCCUCGGGUUGUAAAGCACUUUCAGUGAGGAAGAACGCCUGGUGGUUAAUACCCAUCAGGAAAGACAUCACUCACAGAAGAAGCACCGGCUAACUCCGUGCCAGCAGCCGCGGUAAUACGGAGGGUGCGAGCGUUAAUCGGAAUUACUGGGCGUAAAGCGCGCGUAGGUGGCUUGAUAAGCCGGUUGUGAAAGCCCCGGGCUCAACCUGGGAACGGCAUCCGGAACUGUGAAGCUAGAGUGCAGGAGAGGAAGGUAGAAUUCCCGGUGUAGCGGUGAAAUGCGUAGAGAUCGGGAGGAAUACCAGUGGCGAAGGCGGCCUUCUGGACUGACACUGACACUGAGGUGCGAAAGCGUGGGUAGCAAACAGGAUUAGAUACCCCGGUAGUC
rnacentral:rRNA from 1 species